rnacentral:lncRNA from 10 species
CUCAAAGAGCUCACCUUCUAGCUGGGGAGACAGCUUAUGCACACAUGCAGGCAUCGGAUGGCUCACGGACGGCACCAUAUGCCUGCCAUCAUCAUUAUUGUUGGAGCUCAAGUACCCAGGACUGGGUAACAAGAAAGGCUUUCUGGAGGAGGAAAAACUUGAGCUGGGCUUCAGAAGACCAAGCGUCUCAGACUGGAAGGGGCCUUGGCGAUCGUUUAUUCCAGCAGUUUUCAAAUUUUGUAGCCUCAGGACUCUUUCUUCAAAGAAGCUCUGUGUGGAAAAACAAUAUAUAAAACAGUUUUUUAUUAUUGAGACCUACUUCCUACUCCAAGUAGCCCAUGAGAAGUGGAGCAGAAACCGAAAAGAGACAUGGGAGUUGUGGAAGAGACAGAAGGCAAUAG